AGUCUAUAAUUAAUUUGCAGUCUUCAGAAUUUUUAUUUAUAGAAAAUAUUUACAUCUUAAUAAUAAUUUUACUGUAAUGUCACUCUUUAUUUAAUCUAAGGAUUUAUACGCCCUCAGUUUCUCUAUCAGAAGUGUAGAUGUCAGGCCACUCAAUCGGAGGUAAUCCUGUAAAAUCGUCCAUCCAAUGAGUGAUUGUGUACGGGUCGACCAAUCUGGGGGGUAUUCCAGAAAGCUUGAUUAACUUACCAUUUGAUAAACUAUAACCUCUGGGUUGAUUUACCCCAAACAGGCAUACCAUGAGUAUGUCGGUUCCAAAACACCUGAGAAGAGUUAGUUUAAUCAACCUCUUACUGGUUACCCAGAGUUAAUGCGCGUGCACGGUGCAUGUAUAAAGACAUUUUCAAUGGAUCGCCGAUUUCACGAGUCACCAUGGAAACUCAAAGCGAAAAAAAGAGAGCGGCGUAUUUCACAGAGGAGUUGGAAGUUUUAAUGCAUGCUUGUGAGGAGUUUGAGCCAAUAAUAUAAAAAAGAAGCAAUACAGCUGCAUCGGCUAAAGCAAGAGAGUUGGCUUGGCAAAAAAUAACGGACAGAGUAAAUGCGUGAGUGUAUUAAAUUACAAAUUUGGUAUUUGCUCCCGUUUUAUUGAAAUGCAAAAUAAUGAAGUAUGACUUAUACAUCCUUUUGAAUAUGUUAAAUCACUAUGAAAGCAUUUACUUUUCCUGCCAUUUAUUUCUUUAGCUUGAAAUAAUAAUGUAUAUUUCUUAUUUAAUAAGGUGUAAUCCUUCUGGAGCCACAAGAACUUUAAGCCAAGUCAAAAUGAAACACAAAAACAUUCUGCAAAAAGGUAAUAUUUGAUUACACAAUUACUGAACUAUUAUUAUAACAGGAUUUAGUAUAUUCAUUCUGUCAUGCAGCUAACAGAAAGAAGACUGAAGCCCGUCUAACUGGCGGGGGGCCACCACAACCUCCCCUCACCCCAUCUGAGGAGCUGGCUCUAUCCCUUAAUAAAGGGCGACCAGUGGUUGCUGGCAUUCCAGGGGGCAGUUCAUCACACAUACUAUGCACCACAAGUGAUGGUGAAAAAAGGGUGAAAUAUGAAAAGUUUACCUCUAUGAUUUUUUUUUAAUUUUUUGUCCUGAUAAAUUACUAUCUCUGUCACUUAAAGGCUUUUUGAACAAGAUUAAUUUUUUAUGUAGGCUUAUUGUAUUUAACUGCAUAUGAUGUAUUAUUUUCUUUUAUAAUAUUGAGAAUUUAACGGGUUGUGUGUUCUUAUAGAUACUGAUGGACGGAUUGUAUUAUUGGACUCUCCAGAAAGAACACAGUCUGUCACAGUUGAUGAAGAUGAUGAUGACGAUGAAGAGACCACAUCUGCUGUGACAGAAGUGGACAAUGCUGGUAGAUCCACUGAGUACAUACCUAGGGAUUUGCCCACAGAUGAGCGUCCUUCAGCCUCAGCACACAAUCUAAGCAGAGUAAGAAUUUGUGUCCAUGUGUCUAUAUUUGAAUUUUAUUGUCUGACCAAACAAUCUCAUUUAUUAAAUUUUUCCACCUUAGUUGCCAGCAAAGGAGCUGUAUAAGGUCCAUCUUCAAAAACAAAUAAGAAAAAGUGACAUGGAGAUGGACCUUAUACAGCUUCAAAUGGAAGAGAAAAGGCUCCUCAUUAAAAACGCAGCACUUGAAAUAGAAUUACUUGAGAAUCGCCUUAAGGAUCCUCGUCAAAAGGUCACGCCAUGCUCACCAACCUUCUGAAACGAAGUUACACUGAAACAUAACCUGCUCUCGAGCAGGUUGUCUUCAGAGAGUCAGUUGCUAUGGUUACAUACAUACCCAGAAAGUUACCUCUGUUUUUGGAACCGAACGUUGAGGUUAUCCACGAACUUACCCUUAAACAGACCCAGGUAUGUCACAUAACCUGCUUUUUGGAAUACCCCCCAGUGGUUGGUUGGCAGUUUAGAACAUAGACAUGUAAAUACCUCAUUGGGCGCUCUGAACAUAGACUCUGAGCCGUUGCCGCUCGUCCGCCAUGUUAGUGAGGGCAAGACUGCAUUAAAAACAAAUGAAAGUAACCGGAGGAGCUGCGUUUUUUCUGAAUAAAAGCACGAUUUAAUUAUUUAGUUAGGUUUGUAAAAUUAUUAAUUUUCGUAAGGAAUUGUGAAAGCUCACAUUUGUCUCACUUGUUGAUUUCGUUGAUUUUUUUGGUUUACAAUUCUAA